GGUAGCAUAAUCAUUAGUCUUUUAAUUGGAGACUGGUAUGAAUGGCUAAACGAAAAAUCUUCUUUUUUUAUUAUAAACUUUGAAUUUAUUUUUUUAGUGAAAAAACUAAGAUGUUCUUGAAAGACGAGAAGACCCUAUAGAGUUUUAUAUAGUAAAUUGAUACAUUAUAUUAGAUUUUUUUUGAUGUUUCAUUGUUCUAUAAUUUGUUGGGGCGACAUUAAGAUACAAAAAACUCUUUUUUAUAUAAACUUUUAUAAAUGAAUAUUUUGAUCCUUUAAAAAAGAUUAUAAGAUAAAAUUACCUUAGGGAUAACAGCGUAAUCUUUUUUGAGAGUUCUAAUCGACAAAAAGGUUUGCGACCUCGAUGUUGGACUAAAAUUUAGAUAAGGUGCAGCAGCUUUAUUUUAGGGUCUGUUCGACCCGUAAUAUUUUACAUGAUCUGAGUUCAGACCGGCGUGAGCCAGGUUGGU
rnacentral:rRNA from 1 species